UUUGGAUUGGUGCUGCAUCUUGUGUCUAUAAAAUGAGCUCCUCGUAAUCCGUAGAUAAUGCUUUCUUCUGCAGUUUUUUCGAAAUAUAUAAUGAUAGCCAUGGAGAAUUGCAAAUAUGUUAUGAGGAACUGCAAAUAUGUUGUUACUGCUCUCAAUAACAUUGCUGCCCUGAAUUGCGGACAAUUUGUGUGGUCUACUUUCUGGAGGAUGAUCGUACCAUGCUGACUCUCUCUGAAAAUGAAAAUGAAUCAGACAAUGAGGAAAUCCCUGAUUUAGGGAAAAACAUUUUAAUUGAAGAAGACAUUGUCUUCUGAUGACAGUGCUGGAUAUGAAACAGUGACAAUCAACAGUGUUGUUGUCAUGGAAGAAGUUGACAGAGUUUUGAAAUCAGUGGAAUGUCUGAUAGAAGCAACAAGACACAGGACGUCUUAUUUAAUUAAAGGGGUUGCAGUCUGCCGUGAAGCUUUCAUCCAUGUAUAUGGCAUCAGUAGAACACCCUCGACUCUCCUCCACCAGUCAUACAAGGAGAAUGAUCUAAUGGCUCCCAUCAAAAAGAGAACUGGCCCAAGCAAGCACAGGUUACACCUGAAGCAUGAGGACUUGCUGUGAGUGGUGAACUUCAUCAACAACUAUGCAGAGGAUCAUGCAAUAGCAUUACCAGGACACCAUCCAGGACACAAACACUUUGGUGGAAAGCUGCUGCCAUCCCAUGUGACAAAAGCAUCAUUGUGGCGUCUCUACAAGGAAUCGAUGACAGGUAUGUGUAGUCUUCCUUCAGGAAUCUGUGGAGAAAAUUGCUGCCCCACAUUUCUAGCACUAAGCCGAGGACAGACAUGUGCUGGCAGUGCCAGAUGAAAAACUAUCAGGUCUUCAGAUCUACCAGAAGCUGUUUAAUCAGCCAAGCUGAAGAAGCAAGAGCAGCAUCUCCUGCUUGUUCAGAGUGAGCGGUCUGUCUACCAGAAGAUGGUUGCUGACUAUAUAUAUAUAUGGGAGGCAGGCAAAUACAUUUCACUGAUUGGUGUAAAGACAAGUUGACAGGAGUGAGACAAUUAAUUGUAAUUUAUCUUAAUGUUCUUUUGUUGUUUGCAGAUGCACUAUCCUUCUGUCAUUAUGCAGCCAGGUCCCAUCUACUUUUUAACUCCUCGCGAGUGUGGGUUCUUUGGUGUCUGCUGUGAAGGAAUACCACAACAAGUCAACUACUUGAUUGAUGAAGGCAUGUCAACCAGCGAAGACAGCAGAGCAGUCAUCAACUACAUUCACCAUUUCUUCUCCAACUACGGAGUUGGGGAAACAAGUGUGGAUCUGAAUUGUGAUAACUGCAGUGGCCAAAAAGAGAACAAGUUUGUGCUCUGGUCUUGUGUCUGGCGGACCAUGCACAAGCUCCACCGCAGUCUGGACCUUCAUUUCCUGAUCACAGGCCACAUCAAGUUUGCCCCCGACUGGUGCUUCGGCCUCAUCAAGCAGAGCUUCAGAAAGACCAGGGUAAACACUUUGUCUGAGAUUGCUGGUGUUGUGAAGGACAGCACUGUGACAGAGGUCAACAUCCCACAGCUGGUUGGACUUUGAGCUGUUCCUGUCUAUUGAUGUUCUGUAUUAUGUCAUUCUGUAUUAUGUUUCAUGUUUUGUGUGGAACCCAGGAAGAGUAGCUGCUGCUUUUGCAACAGCUAAUGCAGAUCCUAAUAAAAUACCAAAUACCAAUACUCUGGACUUCAGGAUGCUGCCACAGAUCAAGCAGUACCAGCACUUCAGGUGAAUGUCAUUUCCAUUGCAUUCUAUGAGGUUAUUCUUCUUAUUGAAACUUGGGAGGUGAAUUGAUGUUGUGCAAGGAUGUAAUGUCUUCAAAAAAAAUCUUCAAGUUUGACAGCUUCAAUUCUCUGGAGCCUGGUGUUGUUGUUGCCAAGGAGCGUUCGGACUCAGUCGGGACCAGGUUUCAGCUGCUGCACAACGCUGACAUCCUUCCUCCCAUAGAUGGUCUGCCUGUACAAGCACCACCUGGACUGGACACAGCUAGACAAACGUAUGUUUUUGAGAAGAUCAGGGUGUUUUGCGACGAAGAGGCUAUGGAUAUUACAUGCCCUGCACCAUAGUCAAGGGAAGGACAGAAACACACUCUCAGGGGUACAUGCUCAGUCCCCUCCUGUACUCCCCGUUCACUCAUGACGGCACGGCCAUGCACGACUCCAACACCAUCAUUUGCCGAUGACACAACAGUGGUAGGCCUGAUCACCGACAACGAAGAGACAGCCUAUAGGGAGGAGGUCAGAGACCUGAACGUGUGGUGUCAGGAAGAGAACCUCUACCUCAACGUGAUCAAGACAAAGGAGAGGAUUGUGGACAACAGGAAAAAGAGGACUGAUCAUGCCCCCAUUCUCAUCAACUGGGCUGUAAUGGAGCAGGUUGAGAGCUUCAAGUU